AUGUCAAAUAUACCCUUAAACACCUGUCGUUUAAACUCAUAGCCGUAAGUCUCGCGUUAUCGUUUCUAUCGUAUGCGAAUCUCGAGCGAAAUCGAAACAGCAAAGGCAAAGCGUAUUUCAUCGUCGCGUCGCACAACGAAUACGACGUUGGCCGCUCGCCGAUGUCGUCUCACGAGACCCGAGACGUUUUAUUUGCGGCUACGGUACUAUGAAGCGUAUUCAGAACCAACCUCUCGAUAAUAGCUUUUGUCGAUUAUCUUGAUAUCUGAGGUUAUAUAGUUCUCUAGUAGCGCGCAACUGCGCAGACGAUCGCGAUCGCGAUUGCGAAUCGAAGUUGGUGUCGAAGUUGACGGGACAUUCGUAAUACCGUUUCGACCGUAAAUAUUUUACUGAUAUUUUCGUGCUAUCACCAUGACGGAAGCUAAACAAUGGACAUCCAAGACGAAGAGGGUUUCACUGGGAGUUGGCGGUGCCUUGGUGGAGCUAACGCAGGAUCCUGAACGGGGUAGCUGGGCCAAUCCCAUCGAGUUUGUUCUAUCCUGCAUCGGGUAUGCCGUUGGCAUUGGCAAUGUUUGGCGUUUCCCUUACCUUGUAUAUCGUAAUGGCGGUGGUGCUUUUUUAAUUCCAUUCGUUUUAAUGCUGAUAACCAUGGGAUUGCCGAUAUUUUUUUUGGAACUCGCGAUUGGACAAUAUUCAGGACUUGGCCCUAACGAAGCGUUCACACGUAUGGCGCCGGCACUCGAGGGUCUCGGUUAUUGCACCCUCGUCGUCAUUUUGCUUGUAAUGGUCUACUACAUGGUGAUCGUUGCCUGGACACUUUUCUACACGUUCGUCUCGUUCGUGCCGAAGCUCGGUUGGGCCUACUGCGACAACGAUUUCAACACGAACGAUUGUUAUAGUGGCCUGCAAGGGAUCCAAUGUCAAACGAAUGAUCCGGAAACGAUAUUUUACAACAGGACUUGCGUAUCGGCCAGGCUUAUCUGCAAGAAUUUUGGUUUCGAGGAUGGCAACGUCACUCAUUGUUUCGAUACGAACAGAUUGGAACUUCUCCAACACCUUUAUACUCGCAUCCUUUCUUCGGAGGAAUAUUUCAACGACCGUGUAUUGGGUCUACGAGGUGCCACGUGGGAACAUUUUGGAGGCAUAAGAUGGGAAUUGUUAGGAUGUCUCACCCUCGCUUGGAUAGUCUGCUUCCUAUGCCUGAUGCGCGGUGUCCAGUCCAUUGGGAAGGUCGUCUACUUUACCGCACUUUUCCCUUACGUCAUGCUUACGGCGCUGCUGAUACGAGGUGUUACACUGGACGGUGCUGGUGACGGUUCUCUUUGGUUUAUUACGCUAAAAUGGUCAACACUGGAAUCAACUAGCGUAUGGGCAGAUGCUGCAUCCCAAGUUUUCUAUUCCCUUGGUAUCGGUUGUGGAUCUUUGAUCACUCUUUCGAGCUACAGUAAUUUCAAUAACAAUUGCCACAGAGACGCAAUUAUCGUGACGUUUACGAAUCUCGCAACGUCGAUCUUCGCCGGAUUCGUGAUUUUCUCCAUUAUGGGAUUCCUUGCCCGUCAAAUGGGCAUGCCAAUCGACGACGUGAUCAAAAGCGGGGCAGGCCUGGCUUUCAUCGCGUACCCAGAAGCCGUGGCACGGAUGCCGUUGCCCAAUCUCUGGGCAGUGUUGUUUUUCGUCAUGCUGUUCAUCCUGGGCAUCGGUAGCCAAGUGGUGUUCGUGUAUCAAAUAUGUACGUACGAGAUGCCUCGUUAUGGCGAGUACAUAUUCCCUGGCUGGGUGAAUGCGAUCGGAAUACUGAUCGGCCUGUCGACCCUCGCCCCGAUGCCGUUCUUUUUCAUCCGUCGCCUCUGGAAAGGUCCGAGGGACUGGAGUUUGUUUCGACCAAAGAAGACGUGGGGACCAGCUGUGGAGAAAGGUGCAGGUAACGGCAAUUCGUCCAUGGCGACCAUCAAGAUCUCGCAACCGUAUAGAAACGAACCGCAAGAGGAUUACAUUUAAUGAUUUUAACGAAUUCAUCUACUUUUUAGACGAUUCUAGUCACGUUAACGCGAAUGUUAAUCACCCGAUCCAAGCGUUCGAGAACGCUCUCUUCUCUACUCGGUUUUUUUUCUGUUAGAAAAGUUUUACAAAUAGAGUGAGGAUUUUUAUGCGUUUCUGUGAAACUUGCAAAAAUACACAGAAUGCAUGUAACUUCCAAAAACUUAUAAUUAAUUAUAAUAAUUUGCAAAAAUAUUUAAAACAUAGAACUUUCGAAAUAUUCGAGUCAUACACAGGUCGAAGUAGCCAAUUCCACUUUUCGAAAUUUUGGAAAUUUUAGCGAAGGUUCGAUCGAAACUUAUCUGAUAUAGUUUCAUCAAUUUUCUCUGCUCUUUGUUUCGUGGAAUUUCAUUUUUUCAUUUUUAGGCAAGUUGCGUUUUCUUAAUCGUAUUCGUAGAAAUAUCAAUUCGCAUAAAUCUCCGCUGUCUGUUCAUCGAUUAUCUUUGUUGUAUUCUCUUUCAUUCGCUUUUGUCUGAUGUGAAACGAAUUAAGAGCUUCCAUCAGAUAAAAGUCAGACUGGAAGUUUCAAGGAACCCGGCAGAUUUUUCGGGCGAGAACGAAGAGCUACGAUAUAUUAACGCUUCGGCCGAUUUCAUAUUUUCCAAUACUCGCUGUAAAACUUGGGAACUCUGUUUUCGUUGAAACUUUUAAAUUAAUGCUAGCGAACAGCCGCAGUGGGUAGCAUCAACUACAACGAGGUGCGUGUGUUAUAGCAUUUCGCUAGCUGUUUCAAAGCAACGUUUUAAUUUCUAUGUCCAUGUGAACACGCUAACGCGUACCAACGAUAUUAAUGAAUUUGCAAUUUUUACCUGAAAAGAACUCAUCGGUUCGUUUUGAUGUUUCGUUCUUUGCAUUUCAAACAGGGAAUGUAUCGGCAAUUCCACUGGAAUACCGAGCGUGUGCAAAAUUCGAUAUGCGUUCCGAUGUCAACUUAUUUUUUCCAGAAUCCGUAAUUAUUCCAUAAUUGGGAUCGUGAAAUACUUACAGUUUACGACAUCCUUUUUAAAAUUAUCACCACAAUAUCGACCGACCAAAUAUAAAACUAUCAAUCUUGGUUUAUGCGCUGUAUCAAAAUCACAGUUUUCUAGCCUCUUUUUCGCUAUACGUGAUACUUUGAAAAUUGACUUGUUUAGUCCCCGAUACUCGAGUGAACGGAAUACGAGGUCGACUUCAAUUGCAUGAUUCGGCUCAUGUAAUCGAAGCGGCGAAGUUACUCUAUACUGUAUACAACUAUACGUGGUCUUGUAAUAAAGCACGGUCUGCUACAUCGGUUGCAUCCGAGCGUGUGCUGUAGCGUGCACGAAGGGACGACGUACAAUAGUGGUGUCGCGUUAUGAUCACCGGUCACGCCGGUGGAAAAGUGGCGAAUGUCGCUCGCAUUCGUCCCGUGUUCCCUCCUAAUUAAUGCGAUGGAACAUCUCCGGUACAAGGAAUUCCGUGUCCUCCGCGCGGCGUGGCAAUAUCGUGUGGCCGUCUCGACCGCUUGUACUCCGUCUUAUGGGGAAUGUAGGGACGGCGAGAGUGUGCGGCUUGCAACGGUGCGUUAAUGAGAAUUUCGCUCGAUCACCGCCUCGAUUCACAACGCGUGCCUCACCGAUUCAACCCCGCAGCAACGGCGACUUUUUGCCCACGAAUAUGAACCCGUAAAAUUGCCUCUCGAUCCCUGAAUUAUCCUUCCCAUGAAUUUUUAUAAGCCCGACGCGUUUCGUCGGCUGCGCGUUUCACAGGAUCCGUAGACGCUUCGUAUAUGCUAGACGCGGGUAUUUGGGAGACAAAUUUUGAACGGAUCGAUCCUGUUAUAAGAAAUCUGUUCCUUGGUUCGUUGCAGUAAGAAAAGUAAUGGCGUUUUCACGAAUUUAUGGGCAAUUUAGAGAUGAACAAAUGUGCAGAAUAUAAGUAAGAUGUAAAAAUGUAUGAAAUAUCUAAAAUA